UCGAUCCGUGUGUGGGAGAACCGCACGCGCGGUUCAUGGGGAGGGGCGGGUGAGAGCCCGUCCCUAUCCAUAU
rnacentral:misc_RNA from 1 species